GCCCGGGUGGCGGAAUUUGGUAGACGCGCGGCCUUGAGGGGGCUGUGGAGGUAACUCCGUGAGGGUUCAAAUCCCUCCCCGGGCA
rnacentral:tRNA from 1 species